UGUGCAGAGAAAUUAGCAGCCAUACUAAUUCACACAAAACCCAUGUACACAAGGGAAAGGACAUAACAUCAAAUAACAUGCAAAAGAAUGGAAUUCAGCCUCUUUCACAUUGAAUCACAAAGAUCGAUAAAAAUAGGAGAAGCAGUCACAGUAUCAGAGUAGUGAGCUGUGCAACCACAGGCUAUUAGCUUGUGCCAGAGACCACAUUUUGGUACAACAAAUGUCAAAAGAUUGACAUUUUCAACACUGAAUGUAAAAGCUACUGGAGCUGAAGCAUUUGCCAAUAGCAUUGCUAAGCCAUUCUAAAUUCACUUAUGAAUUGGACGCUGAUAAAGGAGAAAAACACAGAAACUGAGUGCACAUACAGCAGAACACAGAACCACUUUUCCCCUCCUGCUGUGUUUACAGGCAAGCCAGCACUGGAAUAUGAAGUCAGGAAGUAUUGCAGUGGGCACACACUGCCUCAUCUCAGAUUAAUACACCUGACAAAAGUCUCAGCAAAUUCACGUAUAUCUUUUUGCACUUUGUAGUGCCCUUACAGUCUGGAGAAGGGUUCCCAGAUGACAUUGUGCCACAGCUGUUCUCUGUGCCAUGCUGUCAAGCUGAGAAGUGACAUACUUAUUUAGGCUUGCAUGUUGGAAGCAGAAGUCAUGCCAAUCGCUGAAGCAUUGAUGCAUGAUGCUGGAGGAGCAGAAAGUCAGUGAAUGUCUUGGAUCAACACAAUUCACCUCUGAAAUCCUCUGCUGCAGCCUGAAAAGCAUCGAAAACCUCAGUCCAAUUGCCUGGCAUCAAAAAUUCAUGAAGCAGAACUUUUAAUCUAAAAAUCUGGAGUAAAGUCAUAAUUAUCAAUGAACAUGGCUUGUAAUUCAGUGCCACAGGGAGCUG